CCAAUAGCGUAUAUUAAAGUUGUUGCAGUUAAAAAGCUCGUAGUUGAAUUUCGGGAUCAAUUCGUCGGUCGUGCUUUUUGGUACGUACUGGCGUUAUUGGUUUCUCCUUUCUGACGAGCCAUGAUGUCAUUAGUUUGGUGUUAUGGGGAGUUAGGACUGUUACUUUGAAAAAAUUAGAGUGUUUAAAGCAGGCAUUAGCUUGAAUACAUUAGCAUGGAAUAAUGAAAUAGGACGUUCGAUCCUAUUUUGUUGGUUUCUAGGAUCAACGUAAUGAUUAAUAGGGAUAGUUGGGGGCAUUAGUAGUCAAUUGUCAGAGGUGAAAUUCUUGGAUUUAUUGAAGACUAACUACUGCGAAAGCAUUUGCCAAGGAUGUUUUCAUUAAUCAAGAACGAAAGUUAGGGGAUCGAAGACGAUCAGAUACCGUCGUAGUCUUAACCAUAAACUAUGCCGACUAGGGAUCGGAUGAUGUUAAUUUUUUAAUGACUCAUUCGGCGCCUUACG
rnacentral:rRNA from 1 species